UGCGCUUUGGCAGUGUGGUUAGCUGGUUGUGUCAAUAGUAUCACAGCCACUAUCUCCACUGCCGCGGCGAA
rfam:Lutzomyia longipalpis Contig6228, whole genome shotgun sequence.